rnacentral:rRNA from 1 species
GAUGAACGCUGGCGGCGUGCCUAAUACAUGCAAGUCGAGCGAACGGACGAGAAGCUUGCUUCUCUGAUGUUAGCGGCGGACGGGUGAGUAACACGUGGAUAACCUACCUAUAAGACUGGGAUAACUUCGGGAAACCGGAGCUAAUACCGGAUAAUAUUUUGAACCGCAUGGUUCAAAAGUAAGAGACGGUCUUGCUGUCACUUAUAGAUGGAUCCGCGCUGCAUUAGCUAGUUGGUAAGGUAACGGCUUACCAAGGCAACGAUGCAUAGCCGACCUGAGAGGGUGAUCGGCCACACUGGAACUGAGACACGGUCCAGACUCCUACGGGAGGCAGCAGUAGGGAAUCUUCCGCAAUGGGCGAAAGCCUGACGGAGCAACGCCGCGUGAGUGAUGAAGGUCUUCGGAUCGUAAAACUCUGUUAUUAGGGAAGAACAUAUGUGUAAGUAACUGUGCACAUCUUGACGGUACCUAAUCAGAAAGCCACGGCUAACUACGUG